rnacentral:lncRNA from 1 species
AUGUUAGGAGACGCGGCGAUUGAAUUCAAGGUCAUAGUAGGUUGCCUCCACGCGAAAUCGAUAAAUGACCACCGAUGGUAUAGAGUGCAGGGCAUCACCAGAACACUGGACUCUAUGAAAGCGCAGAGAAAGCGCGGUCAUCAUAACAUAAUAAACAUGGAUCUGUUCGCACGAGUGAUGAAAGACUUGCACAGUAAUCCCGAAAGUACAUUGGAAUGGGUCGUCGAAUACGUUAAGAGGCUAAACGUCUCAGAAGCUAAGGCACAGGAGAUUCGAAAAAGAAUGUUCAGGAUAUUCAUGUGUAACAAAGCUCCCAGUUCAGAAGCGUGCAAAAGGCUAUGGAAUCAGAUGCGCAUGUCGACCAGCAUCGGGGUUGCGGUGGACACCGAAUGUAAGAACGUUUUUAACGGCAAAAUGACCAAAAGCGAAGCGGGCCCCGUGUCCCAACUUAUCCUCACGCAGUUAGAAGCCUUAUGCCUCAAUCCUAUAUGCGCAGGGUUAAAGGUGGCUGGCAUACCCACACCCGAUCGACGCUCUGGCGCGAAACGUCGGUACACGUACCAUAACCGCUGCACAUCGGGAUGCAAGGGUAUACAGACCGACUGGGGUUUUUACACCGAAGUUGACUUGGUGGCGCACGACACAGUCACAAACAAAAUAGCCUUACUAGAGCUCAAGACAAGGCAAAGCGACUUUCUUGACCACACGACCCUUUGGCGUUAUAACACGCAGCUCUGGCUAACGUGGCUGAUGUUUUCACUCACUUACCCUAGCCUGGCAGAGCGGUCGGCCGCGUAUUUGGUUAUCAUGAGACCCGGGACCAACAUGGUCCGAAUACGGAGAUGUCUUAGACCCACUAUAUCCAAGUCAAUGAAACGCAAUUUCCCUUGGGUCACAAGUUUUUGCCCGCAAGUACUGAACUGUCUAACUCCCACUUGUAUGAACAUGAGAGUCGAGAGUAAAGCGCGUCUGAUGCCCACAGAACUAGCGCACGCACGCGCGAAUCCCAGCGAUUUGUGUUACAGGAAUAUACUUUUCAACGAAGAAAAAGAGAAACACUUCAACGGCUCCGAUCGUGUCCCCAGCCGACAGUUGACAACACAACACAGCAGCAGUUUAUAA